UGAGCAAUCUGCCCUUGUGAGGGGGAUAACGUCUGGAAACGGACGCUAAUACCGCAUAACAUACUGAGAUCGCAUGGUUUUGGUAUCAAAGAAUUAUCGCACAAGGAUGAGCUCGCGGCUGAUUAGCUAGUUGGCGGGGUAAAUGCCCACCAAGGCGACGAUCAGUAGCCGGACUGAGAGGUUGAACGGCCACAUUGGGACUGAGACACGGCCCAGACUCCUACGGAAGGCAGCAG
rnacentral:rRNA from 1 species